UGGGGAAUAUUGCACAAUGGGCGCAAGCCUGAUGCAGCCAUGCCGCGUGUGUGAAGAAGGCCUUCGGGUUGUAAAGCACUUUCAGCGAGGAGGAAGGCGUUAAGGUUAAUAACCUUAGCGAUUGACGUUACUCGCAGAAGAAGCACCGGCUAACUCCGUGCCAGCAGCCGCGGUAAUACGGAGGGUGCAAGCGUUAAUCGGAAUUACUGGGCGUAAAGCGCACGCAGGCGGUUUGUUAAGUCAGACGUGAAAUCCCCGAGCUUAACUUGGGAACUGCAUU
rnacentral:rRNA from 1 species